rnacentral:rRNA from 1 species
GAUGAACGCUGGCGGCGUGCCUAAUACAUGCAAGUCGAGCGAACGGACGAGAAGCUUGCUUCUCUGAUGUUAGCGGCGGACGGGUGAGUAACACGUGGAUAACCUACCUAUAAGACUGGGAUAACUUCGGGAAACCGUAGCUAAUACCGGAUAAUAUUUUGAACCGCAUGGUUCAAAAGUGAAAGACGGUCUUGCUGUCACUUAUAGAUGGAUCCGCGCUGCAUUAGCUAGUUGGUAAGGUAACGGCUUACCAAGGCAACGAUGCAUAGCCGACCUGAGAGGGUGAUCGGCCACACUGGAACUGAGACACGGUCCAGACUCCUACGGGAGGCAGCAGUAGGGAAUCUUCCGCAAUGGGCGAAAGCCUGACGGAGCAACGCCGCGUGAGUGAUGAAGGUCUUCGGAUCGUAAAACUCUGUUAUUAGGGAAGAACAUAUGUGUAAGUAACUGUGCACAUCUUGACGGUACCUAGUCAGAAAGCCACGGCUAACUACGUG